CCAUAUAGAAGCUUCCUCACCUCUCGUUACUUUCUCCCAUUGGUUGAGAUUGUCCCUGCAUGCUCGGAGUAGUGGCCCAGUUGGAGGAAAGAUCUGUGCAAGUGUGGUGUAACAUGGGAUGGCUACAGCAUUGUAGAAUCCAAUUUGACCCUGAGGGACUUCAUCUUUCUUGUCUCUGUCCAUCAUAGGAAUGGGUUGAAUACCUGUUUUUUUC
rnacentral:lncRNA from 1 species